rnacentral:rRNA from 1 species
UACGAAGGGUGCAAACGUUGCUCGGAAUCAUUGGGCGUAAAGCGCACGUAGGCGGCCCAUUAAGUCGGAUGUGAAAUCCCUCGGCUCAACCAAGGAAGUGCAUUCGAAACUGAUAGGCUUGAGUACCAAAGAGGAUCGCGGAAUUCCCGGUGUAGAGGUGAAAUUCGUAGAUAUCGGGAGGAACACCAGUGGCGAAGGCGGCGAUCUGGGUGGUUACUGACGCUGAGGUGCGAAAGCGUGGGGAGCAAACAGG